rnacentral:rRNA from 1 species
AUAACGCCAAGAACCUUACCACCUUUUGACAUGCCCGGACCGCCACAGAGAUGUGGCUUUCCCUUCGGGGACUGGGACACAGGUGCUGCAUGGCUAUCGUCAGCUCGUGUCGUGAGAUGUUGGUUAAGUCCCGCAACGAGCGCAGCCCUCGCUGUUAGUUGCUACCAGGUUUGCUGGGCACUCUAACAGGACCGCCGGUGGUAAGCCGGAGGAAGGUGGGGAUGACGUCAAGUCCUCAUGGCCCUUACAGGGUGGGCUACACACGUGCUACAAUGGCGACUACAGAGGGCUGCAAUCCCGCGAGGGGGAGCCAAUCCCUAAAAGUCGUCUCAGUUCGGAUUGCACUCUGCAACUCGAGUGCAUGAAGUUGGAAUCGCUAGUAAUCGCGGAUCAGCAUGCCGCGGUGAAUACGUUCCCGGGCCUUGUACACACCG